rnacentral:rRNA from 1 species
AUUGAACGCUGGCGGCAGGCCUAACACAUGCAAGUCGAACGAGUGGCGGACGGGUGAGUAAUUUCUGGGAAACUGCCUGAUGGACGGGGAUAACUACUGGAACCGGUAGCUAAUACCGCAUACCAUCAGAUGUGGUCAGAUGGGAUUAGCUUGUUGGUGGGGUAACGGCUCACCAAGGCGACGAUCCCUAGCUGGUCUGAGAGGAUGACCAGCCACACUGGAACUGAGACACGGUCCAGACUCCUACGGGAGGCAGCAGUGGGGAAUAUUGGACAAUGGGCGCAAGCCUGAUGCAGCCAUGCCGCGUGUAUGAAGAAGGCCUUCGGGUUGUAAAGUACUUUCAGCGGGGAGGCGGUACCUACAGAAGAAGCACCGGCUAACUACGUGCCAGCAGCCGCGGUAAUAC